rnacentral:rRNA from 1 species
GAUUAACGCGAAGAACCUUACCAGGUCUUGACAUCCCGCUGCCCGCCUUGGAGACAAGGCUUUCCCUUCGGGGACAGCGGUGACAGGUGGUGCAUGGUUGUCGUCAGCUCGUGUCGUGAGAUGUUGGGUUAAGUCCCGCAACGAGCGCAACCCUUGAUCUUAGUUGCCAGCAUUCAGUUGGGCACUCUAAGGUGACUGCCGGUGACAAACCGGAGGAAGGUGGGGAUGACGUCAAAUCAUCAUGCCCCUUAUGACCUGGGCUACACACGUGCUACAAUGGACGGUACAAAGGGCAGCCAACCCGUGAGGGGGAGCCAAUCCCAGAAAACCGUUCUCAGUUCGGAUUGCAGGCUGCAACUCGCCUGCAUGAAGCCGGAAUCGCUAGUAAUCGUGGAUCAGCAUGCCACGGUGAAUACGUUCCCGGGCCUUGUACACACCGAA